rnacentral:rRNA from 1 species
AGUGAACGCUGGCGGUAGGCCUAACACAUGCAAGUCGAACGGCAGCACAGUAAGAGCUUGCUCUUACGGGUGGCGAGUGGCGGACGGGUGAGGAAUACAUCGGAAUCUACUUUUUCGUGGGGGAUAACGUAGGGAAACUUACGCUAAUACCGCAUACGACCUACGGGUGAAAGCAGGGGAUCUUCGAACCUUGCGCGACUGAAUGAGCCGAUGUCGGAUUAGCUAGUUGGCGGGGUAAAGGCCCACCAAGGCGACGAUGCGUAGCUGGUCUGAGAGGAUGAUCAGCCACACUGGAACUGAGACACGGUCCAGACUCCUACGGGAGGCAGCAGUGGGGAAUAUUGGACAAUGGGCGCAAGCCUGAUCCAGCCAUACCGCGUGGGUGAAGAAGGCCUUCGGGUUGUAAAGCCCUUUUGUUGGGAAAGAAAAGCAGCAGGUUAAUACCCCGCUGUUCUGACGGUACCCAAAGAAUAAGCACCGGCUAACUUCGUG